rnacentral:rRNA from 1 species
GGCGAGUGAGCGGCAACAGCUCAAAUUUGAAAGCUGGCCUUCGGGUCCGCAUUGUAAUUUGUAGAGGAUGCUUUGGGUGAAACGCCAGUCUAAGUUCCUUGGAACAGGACGUCAUAGAGGGUGAGAAUCCCGUAUGUGACUGGAAAUGUUAACCUAUGUAAAGCUCCUUCGACGAGUCGAGUUGUUUGGGAAUGCAGCUCUAAAUGGGAGGUAAAUUUCUUCUAAAGCUAAAUAUUGGCGAGAGACCGAUAGCGCACAAGUAGAGUGAUCGAAAGAUGAAAAGCACUUUGGAAAGAGAGUUAAAAAGCACGUGAAAUUGUUGAAAGGGAAGCGCUUGCAAUCAGACUUGUUUAAACUGUUCGGCCGGUCUUCUGACCGGUUUACUCAGUUUGGACAGGCCAGCAUCAGUUUCGGCGGCCGGAUAAAGGCUCUGGGAAUGUGGCCUUCACUUCGGUGAAGGUGUUAUAGCCCAGGGUGUAAUACGGCCAGCCGGGACUGAGGUCCGCGCUUCGGCUAGGAUGCUGGCGUAAUGGUUGUAAGCGACCCGUCUU